UCCCUUCAAGAGGGCUUGUGCCUCUUUUGCAUAUUUAGUAAUUUUUAAAAGCGGGGAGCUUAUCAGCCCAUUACUGACCUCUUCUGCAUAAGCUGAUCCACUCUGGAAAUUCUGCUUCAGUCUCUGAAACUUCCUGGCUGCUUAAGGCUAAGAGCUGCAGCUCCGGUGGCUGCAGGCACUACAGGCUUUUGAACCUCUCUUGGUAUCCGCAGAUACUUGCUGACUAGUUACUGUCCAGUAGGUAUUCCACCUGGGAGUGCUUUAUACGUGGAGCCGGGCCACUUCAGGAGCUUAUUGCCAUGAAGAUAUGAACUGAUGUGCCUUGGAGCUGCACUUCAGGAUUCCACAAGCUGAGGCUUUUUGGAGCCAUAUGAUAUCUGUCGACUUUUGGGACUUUUUUUUUGGCCUCCCUUGAUUGCCUGCUGACCUGACUUAUUCACCUGCCCUACCUGUUUCCCUGACUUAUUCCACCUUUUGCUCAGAUCUGCUCUCCCUUCUUCAAUCCCGGGUAUGACUGACAGCUGCGAUUGCUUUGGUGCUCACUACAGCUCAUGAAGCGUUUUGGCAGUUUUAGAGGCAGCAAGAAACGGAAGGACCAGUGCAAAAGCUCUGAGAGACGCCAGUCUGAACCUCAUGGCCUUUUAGCUUCCGGCCUCUCCUCUUCUCCGUCUACCCCAACACAAGUGACCAAGCAGCCUGCAUUUCUCCUUGAAUCCUAUAAACAUGAACCCGAGAGACUAGAAGGCCGGAUUCACUGUUCUCCUCCUCCAGACACAGGGCAGAGGUUUUCCCUGCCUCCACCCCAAAGUGCAGCCAAGCCUCCCACAGUGACACCAACUCUCUGUGCUACCUCAAAAAUACACUUGAAGAAUCUGAAAGUGACAUUUAUGUGCGAUUCAUGAGGUCACACAAGUGUUACGACAUUGUUCCAACAAGCUCCAAACUUGUUGUUUUCGACACUACGUUACAAGUAAAGAAGGCAUUCUUUGCCUUAGUGGCAAAUGGUGUUCGAGCAGCUCCACUGUGGGAGAGUAAAAAGCAGAGUUUUGUAGGAAUGUUAACAAUUACAGAUUUCAUUAACAUCCUGCACAGAUACUAUAAGUCUCCAAUGGUUCAGAUCUAUGAAUUGGAGGAACACAAAAUUGAAACAUGGAGGGAACUUUAUUUACAAGAAACAUUUAAGCCUUUAGUGAACAUCUCCCCAGAUGCAAGCCUUUUUGAUGCUGUAUAUUCAUUGAUCAAAAACAAAAUCCACAGAUUGCCAGUUAUUGACCCUGUCAGCGGGAAUGCACUUUAUAUACUUACCCAUAAAAGAAUCCUCAAGUUCCUCCAGCUUUUUGUGUCAGAGAUGCCAAAGCCUGCUUUUAUGAAGAAGAACCUGGAUGAACUGGGGAUAGGAACUUACCACAACAUUGCCUUCAUACAUCCAGACACUCCUAUCAUUAAAGCCUUGAAUAUAUUUGUAGACAGAAGGAUAUCAGCAUUACCUGUUGUGGAUGAGUCAGGAAAAGUUGUAGAUAUUUAUUCCAAAUUUGAUGUAAUAAAUCUUGCUGCUGAAAAAACCUAUAAUAACCUAGAUAUCACAGUGACGCAAGCCCUGCAGCACCGUUCUCAGUAUUUUGAAGGUGUUGUGAAGUGCAGUAUGCUGGAAACACUGGAGACCAUUGUGGAUAGAAUAGUGAAAGCUGAGGUCCACCUUUUGAUGGAAGAGUUAUUCAAAGUGAAAGUUAAAAGAAAUGCUGCCUUCUAAACCUAUAAUGACUGACCAGAUGAAUGCGCUACCCCAUCAUAGACAACUACUUAAGCUGGCGAUUUCUUCAGAGAUAAGUCAUUUUAUUUCUCAAACAGCGUAAGCUUUCACUGAACUGCAGUCAUUGCUGCAUUCAUAUCAGUGCAGCAGUACACAUCUCUGAGAACUGUUUCAAUUUAGGAAGAUAGAUCUGGGUUUGUCUAUUCAUUUGGGUACCUUUAAAGGAAAAAAGUGUUGCAACCUUGAAUGCUGUGAAAAACAUCCAGGAUACAGUGCUUUACAAGUCUUCAUAUAUCAUUCUAGCAAUGCUGGUUGAGAAACACUCAGUUCGAGCCACACUUGGAUAAUAAAACAAGCUCAAGCAUGCAAAUGUCAUAAAGGUGCAUGUAAAUUCAGAUGAAAACGCAUAACAUUACUGUAACCUGUAUCCUUGAUUGCAUUUAGUUUCGUGCCUCUGGUACUUGCUGUCUCCCAUGUGGCAUUAGCCUGACUGAAGAGAGAACUGUUUCUUUCUACAAACAGGAAUCCUUCCAAAUGAUUUGUCUGCCUUUAGACCAUUCAGAGUUGGUUGGUGGUUAAUUCUGGAGCUGCAGUGAGGUUGGUUUGGGUUUGUUUUCCAUGCAGGAUUCAUACAGAAUCAGUUCCAGGGUAAGGCAGGGUGUCAGACGUACUUUGGGCCUUGGGCCGGAUUUGGACUGCGGGGCCCCUUGCAGGUCAGAUUUGGUGUGGGGCUGUGCAGCAGUAAGGGGGCACGUGGCUCCAGGCCAGGUAGCUACUUGCCAUGGCAGAGGCUCUGCAAGUGUGGCAGGCCAGGUGGCUUCAGGGCAAGCAAGGGCUGUGUCACAAAGCCCUCGCUUGCCUCCCUGCUAGUCUUGCGCCCGGAUUUCCUGGCCCAUGGAUUCAGUGGAUCUCCAGGCCUAAGUUUGGCACCCCUGGGGCAUGGGAUUGCACACUCCUUUACAUCAACACUAGCAAAUGCCAGAAGGUGCAGUCUUGUGAGGAAGCAGACCCUGCUAAGUCUUUCACCCAGUUUCAUCUGAUGCUACAUUUUCCAGUGUUUGGGUGCCCUUAUCAUCUAGCUGCUCCAGUAUCAGUAGCCCUAGUGAGUAAAAGGGAAAUACAAAAAAUGUCCACCUAUCACGAGCUUGCAGGAGCAAAUCAGAAUGACCUGUUUCAGUCACGAUCAGAAUCCAUCUAGAAUUUCACCUUCUACGGUUUACGUGAUUUUGCAUCUUCAGUCUUUAACUUUCCUCUUACUGAUGAUUUUGAGAAGUUGCUCAAAUUAAGUAUCACUCCUUGGGGCUCCAGUAACUGCAUCACGUGGCAAUGUAUCAUCUCACAUCCUCUGUGUUCACUGUAGCCUCAGUCCAAAAACUCGAGAUCUGCACGUCAUUGAGUCUCGAAUUACCCAUAUGAGGGCUAACUUAGAGGUCUUAAACCCAUUUCAGUUUUGAAAAAAGUCUUCUUUCCUGGAUGCUCAAACUGAAUGCAAUAUGCGAAUCCUUGGUCUCCCUUAACUCUGUAAGAACCAGGUUGUGUCCUCUGAUAGAUUCACUUUUCUUUGGAAGCUUUAUGGAAUGGAGGGGCCAGGUGAAAAAGGAACCAUUGAAAGAAGAACAAGUUACACCGGAUGUGUAGAUGUAGAAAUCUCAAAUUUUCGUAGAAUCAGGCAGCGUGUCUCACGAGGUGUGGCCCAUCUUGGCCAGCUUAUCUGACCUUUUCCUCAUUAACCUUUGUUUCACCAGGUGACAACUCUGAGAAGGGAAACCACCUUUGCAAGAGGAACCUGCCUUUCAAGAUUUGCCAUUUAGCUACAGUACAGUUCAGUUCACGUAACUCCAUGCACUCAUUUACCAUCUAAUAGGAAAAACUAAUGAAUGUAUUCUUGUGCACUCUGCGUAGUGAAUGAAAACAUCCCAAGUUCACCGUCUGGUGGUAGUGAACGAAGCAGAUAGCAUUGUGGGCAUCAUCUCCCUCUCGGACAUUCUUCAGGCUUUGGUGCUCACACCUGCAGGUGCCAAACAAAAGGAGAGUGAAGCUGAAUGACUGCUGUGAAUGUACAGACCUUUGUAGGAGAACUUGAACAAAGUUUCUGGGUCAAGUUUGUCUCAAGAACACUGACUGCAAUAGAAAAGAGCAGAAUAGUGGAGAAUGUGCAUUGGGACUUAGUGAUGGGUAAUGAGUCUCUUUCCCCACAGUGAUGUCGCAAAAAAGCAGCAUGACGAAAGCUUAUAUGUUAAAAUGUAGGCUUGUAUUUCAAAAUGUCUUCAAAACAUUUGCUGAAAGACUUCACAUGAUGUCCUUCAUUAAAAUGCACUGUAUUUUGAAACUCUUUCAUUUUGUAUUUGACAGAAGUCACUGGUCAGCAAUGGAUAUAUGUGACAUAAGGCAAGUGUAUGGCAUAUUCAUAUCAUAGUGCCUUAUGUCAGAAUACAGCAAUAUGUCAUCACUGUUGCCCAUCACUGUCCGAGGAAGUAUUGUGCUUAAACAAGACACUGUAUGUGAAUGUGAAAGUCUUUGAAACCUAAAACCAAAUCAGUUUCAGUUCUCAUUAGAUUUGUCAUACAAGCUGUAAUCUGAGUAUCAGUACAUUUCCUUAAAACUUUAAUGACAGUUUUGUGUUAAAUGUUGCAUUCGGAACUGAGAUGUAAAACGAGACUGAUUUUUUGAGAACAGCUUUAUUUAUUUUUACUUUCUGGCAAUUUUUUACACAUCUUCGGUGGAUAGCGAAAAACUUCACCAUAUCCAUUAAUAAACUGUUGAUUGUUAUACAAAACAGUGGCAAAUCUUCUCAUUAUUUAAAACUUUGGAGCUGCAGAGGCUGUGGCUUGUAGAUCAGUCCACAUUCCUGUAAGGUUUCCAGAAGCAUGCCUUGUCAGGUGUUCUGGAUUGGCAUACAGGUACCGUGGAGGAAAUGAAGUGCCAGAGAACUAUAUAUUUUCCUCUGUAUUAAAAUGUAAAAUCAUGUUUGUAAGACUAUGGAUAACAUUUUUGUAAAUGAUGCUUAUGUACACAGAUGCAAGGAGCAGGGAAAGUUUUUUUGCUAAUGUAAAUGCACUGUAAAGCUUGGAGAUGAGACUAUAAUUGUAGACUCUUGCAAAUGGAAGAAAUUAAACAACCCUACUGUA